AGUGAACGCUGGCGGUAGGCCUAACACAUGCAAGUCGAACGGCAGCACAGUAAGAGCUUGCUCUUACGGGUGGCGAGUGGCGGACGGGUGAGGAAUACAUCGGAAUCUACUUUUUCGUGGGGGCUAACGUAGGGAAACUUACGCUAAUACCGCAUACGUCCUACGGGUGAAAGCAGGGGAUCUUCGGACCUUGCGCGAUUGAAUGAGCCGAUGUCGGAUUAGCUAGUUGGCGGGGUAAAGGCCCACCAAGGCGACGAUCCGUAGCUGGUCUGAGAGGAUGAUCAGCCACACUGGAACUGAGACACGGUCCAGACUCCUACGGGAGGAAGCAGUGGGGAAUAUUGGACAAUGGGCGCAAGCCUGAUCCAGCCAUACCGCGUGGGUGAAGAAGGCCUUCGGGUUGGAAAGCCCUUUUGUUGGGAAAGAAAAGCAGCAGGUUAAUACCCCGCUGUUCUGACGGUACCCAAAGAAUAAGCACCGGCUAACUUCGUG
rnacentral:rRNA from 1 species